rnacentral:rRNA from 1 species
GACGAACGCUGGCGGCGUGCUUAACACAUGCAAGUCGAACGAAGUGGCGAACGGGUGAGUAACGCGUAAUCAACCUGCCCUUCAGAGGGGGACAACAGUUGGAAACGACUGCUAAUACCGCAUACUGACGGAGGGGAUUGCGUCUGCUUAGCUAGUUGGAGGGGUAACGGCCAACCAAGGCGAUGAUCAGGAGCCGGUCGGAGAGGAUGAACGGCCACAUUGGGACUGAGACACGGUCCAAACUCCUACGGGAGGCAGCAGUGAGGAAUAUUGGGCAAUGGGCGUUAGCCUGAACCAGCCAAGUAGCGGGAAGGAUGAAGGUCUAUGGGUCGUAAACUUCUUUUAUAUAAGAAUAUGUAUUAUAUGAAUAAGGAUCGGCUAACUCCGUGCCAGCAGCCGCGGUAAUUC